rnacentral:rRNA from 1 species
UACAGAGGUCCCAAGCGUUGUUCGGAUUCACUGGGCGUAAAGGGCGCGUAGGCGGCCACCGCAAGUCGACUGUGAAAUCUCCGGGCUUAACCCGGAAAGGUCAGCCGAUACUGCGGGGCUAGAGUGCAGAAGGGGCAACUGGAAUUCUCGGUGUAGCGUUGAAAUGCGUAGAUAUCGAGAGGAACACCUGCGGCGAAGGCGGGUUGCUGGGCUGACACUGACGCUGAUGUGCGAAAGCUAGGGGAGCGAACGGG